rnacentral:misc_RNA from 1 species
GAGUAAUAAUUAAUAAAAUAGAAAUCUUACAGUUCAAUAUCAAAGGAGUCUCGAAUAGUUAGUGGUCAUACUGGUUCGUUAGUGCGCAUGCUCACGUCGAACGUAAAUGAUCGAGUUUGUCCUCCGCCGCCACCACUCAUCAGUGUUGUUACGUUGUUUGGUGAACGUUGUUCGGAAAUCGUCUAAAGAAAAUCUCGUUUUUCCGGUACAAGUAUUUUGGCGCGAAUCAAGUGGAAAUUAUACGGAUAAUGUUAGCGGUUUGUUGUCCGCCGAGAAGAUAGCGAGGAAAAGUCGUAUAACGAUACGGAAUGCCGGCUAGCACCUUAGAUCCCGUUAAUGCGGCGAUCCGCAGUUCCCUCUCGAAAACGACGUCCGAGGCUAACCUAGACGUUCAACUGGCUGGGGCCACUAAAAAGGCCCUUCUCGCCGACAUCGAGUUCAAACCCGCUGGAAGUUAUCAAACAACCGUAUUGGAUAAACUUAAGAAUAAAUAUAUUGUACUCAAAUCAACAGAAACACAACCAGUCAGUGCCCCUGAAAAAAUGGGUGCAGAUGAAACGUUGACCGUGGCAAAGAACGAACUGUACCCAUUAGAUGCUGUAAAAUUAGGAUGGAAUAUCACGGAUUGGGCUGUAGGCGCGGGGAUGGUUAAUAUGGGAAAUACCUGCUACCUGAACUCUACACUACAAGCUCUUUUUCAUGUACCUGCUCUUGUAAAUUGGCUUAUGUCGGAUAGACAACAUAUGAGUGAAUGCGCCGAAUCAGGUGGUUUAUGUAUAAUUUGUGCAAUGAGAAAAACACUCCAAGACUCGCAACAGCGUAACAUAAACUCAAUCCGUCCCUUCCUAAUUUACAAUAAGCUUCGGGUCGUUUGUCGCAAUUUAAUACCGGGUCGACAAGAGGAUGCGCACGAGUUCCUAAGGUAUCUGGUCGAAGCAAUGGAAAAGGCCUAUCUCAGCCGUUUUAAGAAUCAAUCCCAAUUCGAUUCUCGAACGAAAGAGACAACACCCCUCAACCAAAUCCUCGGAGGUUAUUUAAGAUCGACUGUGCGGUGUUUACAAUGUGGGCAUGUUAGCACCACAUUCCAGCAUUUCCAAGACUUACUUUUAGAUAUUAGGAAAGCCCAAACGGUCGAGGAAGCCCUCGACGGAUACUUUUCGAGAGAGAAAUUGGACGAUGAUUCGUAUCAUUGCGAAUCGUGUAAAAAGAAGGUUCCAGCCACUAAACAAUUUUUAUUAGAACGCCAACCUAUGGUUUUGUGUAUACAAUUAAAACGGUUCUCUGUGAGCAACAAUAAAUUAACUAAACAUGUGCAAUUUCGGCAAAGACUUGAGUUAACAAAAUAUGCGAGACAUAAACCUUCGGUUCCUUUGGUAUAUAGGUUUGUUGCUUUGGUUACUCAUAUGGGGCCCACCGUGGGUUGUGGUCAUUAUACUGCAGUUGCCCAAGCGCCAUGUGGCAAUUAUUAUCAAUUUGAUGAUAGUAUGGUCAGACCAAUUUCACAUCAAGCAGUAUUUAAUACAAACGCCUACAUAAUAUUAUAUGAAUUGGAAUGUCCACCAUUUCCCCAAAAAGCGAAUGGAUUAACAACAGUAGCAUCAAAAACAGCAAGUUCAACAACAAACAACACGUCCACAUCAUCAUCAGUUUCACUUGAUACAAUUUCGCCAUCUCAUCCAACCAAACCACACAUAAACGGCAAUACAAGUAAUAAAGUGUAUGGUCCAGAAUUGCCGCCGGAAAAACAAAAACAACUAGAAAAACAAGAAAAAGUUUCGCAAUCUAGUCAAAACGGAGCCGUUUCGAGUUCCGCAAACGGUAACUCCGCUUUGCACAGUUCGGAUUCGUUGGAAUUGUCGUCUUCAGAUAGCGAUAACGAAUCAGAACGGAAAGAUACAAAACAAGAAAAACGUGAAACUACCCAGAAAACAAAUAAUCAAUGUGAUAAUAUGUCUAAGUCAUCAAAAUUAGUAAAAAAUCCUGUCGUUGAGUCAUCACCUAAUCAAGUUACGAAAGAAGCGAAAUAUUCUUCAAAUAACUCUGAAUUGGUGAUGGCUUCUUCGGUGAGUUCUUCGACGUCGUCAUCCCAAUCGGUAAAAAAAUUAGUACCAUAUGACGAUGAUGAAAGCACGACAAGUUCAGAGGAUGUCCAAGAAAAUUCGAGGAUAUGCACAAAAGCUACAGGGCGUGAUUGGAAAGUAACAUCAACGAGCGAAGAAGUUUUAAGCGAAGGUAGUAGCAGUUGGGAGAAAAAGAAUACUAAUAACCGAUCCACCGUUAAUGAAUUAUUAAAAAUGUCGCACGAUGGUUAUUCGGCUCCCGUAAAUUCGUGGAAUGGUACGCGGUCCACAAUGGACAAGGAAGUGAAAAAGAACUUUUAUGAAAGGCGAGAAGAAGAUAGAAAACGAUCGUUAAACGAUAGUAUGGACCAAGGCAGAACGAAAUAUGUUAAAAAUUCAAAUGGUGAUAAAGUGAACCCAGGAUACAAUCGUGUACAAUGACAAAACAGACGCAGGAUAUCUAAAAAACCUUUAAAGUGGAAUUUGAUCAGGAAUAACAGAAGGGUGACGCCCGCUCUGACUCAAAUUGCGUUUAAUUUUACGUAAUCUAAACAAAAAGUAAAUAAACUAUCAAAAAUAAAAUAUGUAUAAACAGAAAAUUAAAAAUACGAUGCGGAAGCGGAACUUCUUUGCACAUAGUACAUGAAAAUGCCUUAUCAGCCAAAAAAUAAAUCAAAUAAAGUAAAUUGUUCGCCGGAUUUUGGAGUGUUCGAGUGAAACUAAUGGAUGUUUUUGAACCAAAAAAUUAAGUUAUUCAAAAACGAAACGCUUUACGUGUUUAGAUCAAGCUCAUUUUAAAGGAGACUUUGUAAAUUAUUUGUAUAGGAAACCCUAGAGCUAGUGACAAAAAAAUUACCUUAGAUGUAAAAAGAUGAUAUGAGAGACAACCUUAAUUAAAUAAUUUAAAAAUAUAGAUCAAAAAUGACUGUGAGAGAAUGCUGGACAAAUGGAAUAUCAUAAUGUAAAAAAUAGUACAUGGAAUGGAAAAAAUAAUGGUUCUUACAGACAAUUUUAUAAUACGAGUGCGAAACACCGGAACAAG